rnacentral:rRNA from 1 species
UACGUAGGGAGCAAGCGUUGUCCGGAAUCAUUGGGCGUAAAGCGCGCGUAGGUGGCCUCAUAAGUCCGCUGUGAAAGUCAAAGGCUCAACCUUUGAAAGCCGGUGGAUACUGUGGGGCUAGAGUACGGAAGAGGCGGGUGGAAUUCCUGGUGUAGCGGUGGAAUGCGCAGAUAUCAGGAGGAACACCAAUAGCGAAGGCAGCUCGCUGGGACGUUACUGACACUGAGGCGCGAAAGCGUGGGGAGCGAACAGG